UGGGACAAUAGCCAGCUAGAGGAUAUUGGG
rnacentral:piRNA from 1 species